UACAGAGGGGGCAAGCGUUAUUCGGAAUUAUUGGGCGUAAAGGGCGCGUAGGCGGCUUGGCAAGUGGAUGGUGAAAUCCCUCGGCUUAACCGAGGAACUGCCGUCCAAACUGCUUAGCUUGAGACCGGGAGAGGUGAGUGGAAUUCCCAGUGUAGCGGUGAAAUGCGUAGAUAUUGGGAGGAACACCAGUGGCGAAGGCGACUUACUGGACACAUAUUGACGCUGAGGUGCGAAAGCGUGGGGAGCAAACAGG
rnacentral:rRNA from 1 species